rnacentral:misc_RNA from 1 species
ACGUAUCUAAACAAGAAAAUAUAGUCAAAGUCUUGUGAUAUUGAGAAAUAAGAGAAUAACAAGAAUUGUCGAUAAACAGAGAAGCAGACAGCAGACAGCUAGUAAAACACGAUGUUCAGUACUGGACCCAACUACGCGAAACUGAAAACAAAUCUAAGACUUAUCAUAAACCGUUUAAAAUUGUUGGAAAAGAAGAAAACGGAGAUAGCCUCUAAAGCGAGAAAGGACAUAGCAGACUACAUAUCGGCGGGUAAAGAUGACAGGGCGAGAAUUCGAGUGGAACACAUUGUACGGGAGGACUAUCUGGUGGAGGCCAUGGAGCUCCUGGAAAUGUUCUGUGAUCUGAUACUGGCCAGAUUUGGUUUGAUUCAGACUCAAAAAGAGCUGGAUCCUGGAUUGGAGGAAGCCAUUGCAAGCAUCAUCUGGGCAUCUCCGAGACUGCAAGCUGACGUACAAGAACUGAAAUUGGUGACUGAUCAGCUAACCUCCAAAUAUGGAAAAGAAUUCGCCCAGGCAUGCCGAACAAAUGAACUGAACAAUGUCAACGAGAAAGUCAUGCACAAACUUGGGGUACAGGCUCCUCCCAAAAUCUUGGUAGAACGAUAUAUGAUUGAAAUCGCAAAGACUUACAAUGUGCCUUUUGAACCUGAUCCCUCUGUGAUGAGCCAGGAUGAAAUAUUUGCCGCAGAAAACCUUUUGAUAGAUCUGGGAGAGAAGAAAGGUGGAGGGGGUGGUGGUAAUGGGGGACCCAGUGGAGGUAUGGGGGUGUUACAGCCGCAGCACUGGGCAGCAGUCCUAUAAUGAUUGGCUAGGAGAGGACCCCAAGAAACAGGUUCACGGUCAGCCCCCUCCCCCCGCAGGGUUCAAUCCAGAGGCUUUCCCUGACCUCCCAGCUGUCCCCAACAGCACGCUCCCUGACCCUGGGAAUUCCGUGGGAGGAAGCUCAGCGGGAGGGGAAGAUGUUGACUUUGAUGAUUUGACCAGAAGAUUUGAACAAUUGAAGAAGAGAAAGUGAAGUGAUAUUGUAAAGGAAUUUACUGUAGAUAUCAUUUUGUUUCUCUCUGUCAAGUUUGUGUAACAUGUAUAAUGUAGUGUUUUGUACAUUGAUUCAAGUGUUGAUAUUUGAAUAUGCCGCACCCAUACAGAUUUUUAAUUCUGAAAAUAUUAUCAGACUGUCUAUUAAUAUGGAAUAUUUUCUUUGAGAACAACUACCUUCAAUGUGAAAAAAUGAAUCAUAUUAGAUAAAUCUACUCUAAAGACUUCUAUGUACAUGUGUAUUUAUAGUGCAAUUAUAAAAAACCACAAACUGUGUGAUUUGUGUGAGCCCUACACCAUGGGACUGGUGUCAGUUUUUGAUGUAAAUUAAUAUGCAUUGUCAAGAAAAAUCGUAACUUGUAAAAUGAAAUGUGAUGAAACU